GAUGAACGCUGGCGGCGUGCCUAAUACAUGCAAGUCGAGCGAAUGGAUUAAGAGCUUGCUCUUAUGAAGUUAGCGGCGGACGGGUGAGUAACACGUGGGUAACCUGCCCAUAAGACUGGGAUAACUCCGGGAAACCGGGGCUAAUACCGGAUAACAUUUUGAACCGCAUGGUUCGAAAUUGAAAGGCGGAUUCGGCUGUCACUUAUGGAUGGACCCGCGUCGCAUUAGCUAGUUGGUGAGGUAACGGCUCACCAAGGCAACGAUGCGUAGCCGACCUGAGAGGGUGAUCGACCACACUGGGACUGAUACACGGCCCAGACUCCGACGGGAGGCAGCAGUAGAGAAUCUUCCGCAAUGGACGAAAGUCGUACGGAGCAACGCCGCGAGGGUGAUGAAGGCUUUCUGGUCGUAAAACUCUGUUGUUAGGGAAGAACAAGUGCUAGUUGAAUAAGCUGGCACCUUGACGGUACCUAACCAGAAAGCCACGGCUAACUACGUGCCAGCCGCCGCGGUAA
rnacentral:rRNA from 1 species